UGAAGGCAGCCCCACCUUGCUGAGCACUGAGAGAUGUGGAGUAAGAAAUAGCCUGGGACCAUGUCCAGGGGAGCCCCCUUUUUGAUGGAGUGCAGGAGAGAAAAUGAGCCUAAGAAGGCAACCAGGAAGGAGUUCCAGGAGCACAAACACCACGGGACAGGUGAGUCACGGGUCUAAAGGAAGAAGACUGGAGGAGGGACCCACGACGUGAGUCACAUAUAGCACAUCAAAGGAGACAGAGGGUGAGGAGACGCCAUCAGGCUUGUGCCAGCCCUCAGCAGCCUCACAAGCACCCCUGAGGAUCUGUGCCAUGAAGAUCUCCAUCUUCCAGGCUGUGUAUGAAGCGGAGAUGAUGUGGAACCUGGAGCUGCUGCAGCCAUCUUGUAGGCAUGAGGGGUUCUACAGGUUGGAUAAGUGUCCCAAAGGCCCGUGUGUGAAAGGUUUGUGACUCUAUUGGGAGGUGGCAGAACUUUGAGGGGGUGGGGCCUAUAGGAAGGAAGUUUGGUCAGUGAGGACUGGCCCUGGAAGGGGUGUGAGGACGCUGGCCCCUCCUCUCUCUUUCUUCCUUUGCUUUCUGGUCACCAUUUUAUGGCAAGCCCAAAAGCAAUGGGACCAAAAAUCAUGGACUGAAAUCUCUGCGACCCUGAACCAAAAUAAACCUUUCUUCCCUAA